CCUACGGGAGGCAGCAGUGGGGAAUAUUGCACAAUGGGCGCAAGCCUGAUGCAGCCAUGCCGCGUGUAUGAAGAAGGCCUUCGGGUUGUAAAGUACUUUCAGCGGGGAGGAAGGCGAUAAGGUUAAUAACCUUGUCGAUUGACGUUACCCGCAGAAGAAGCACCGGAUAACUCCGUGCCAGCAGCCGCGGUAAUACGGAGGGUGCAAGCGUUAAUCGGAAUUACUGGGCGUAAAGCGCUCGCAGGCGGUCUGUCAAGUCGGAUGUGAAAUCCCCGGGCUCAACCUGGGAACUGCAUUCGAAACUGGCAGGCUAGAGUCUUGUAGAGGGGGGUAGAAUUCCAGGUGUAGCGGUGGAAUGCGUAGAGAUCUGGAGGAAUACCGGUGGCGAAGGCGACCCCCUGGACAAAGACUGACGCUCAGGUGCGAAAGCGUGGGGAGCAAACAGGAUUAGAUACCCUCGUAGUC
rnacentral:rRNA from 1 species